GCAUUGGUUGUUCAGUGGUAGAAUUCUUGCCUUUCCUGUGGGAGUCCUGGGUUCGAUUCCCAGCUGAUACA
rnacentral:tRNA from 1 species